rnacentral:tRNA from 1 species
GCGGGAAUAGCUCAGUUGGCAGAGCAUCAGCUUCCCAAGCUGAGGGUCGGGGGUUCGAAUCCCCUUUCCCGCU